rnacentral:rRNA from 1 species
CCUACGGAGGGCAGCAGUGAGGAAUAUUGGUCAAUGGACGAGAGUCUGAACCAGCCAAGUAGCGUGAAGGAUGACUGCCCUAUGGGUUGUAAACCUCUUUAGGCGGGGAGCAAUGCCGGGCACGCGUGCCCGGCGGGAGAGUACCCGCAGAAUAAGCAUCGGCUAACUCCGUGCCAGCAGCCGCGGUAAUACGGAGGAUGCGAGCGUUAUCCGGAUUUAUUGGGUUUAAAGGGUGCGUAGGCGGUUUUUUAAGUUAGUGGUUAAACGUCGGGGCUUCACCUUGAUUUGCCAUUAAUACUGUAAGACUCGAGUUCAGACGAGGUAGGCGGAAUAAGUUAAGUAGCGGUGAAAUGCUUAGAUAUAACUUAGAACUCCGAUAGCGAAGGCAGCUUACCAGACUGCGACUGACGCUGAAGCACGAGGGCGUGGGUAGCGAACAGGAUUAGAUACCCCUGUAGUC